UAUAUAUGUGUGUGUGUGUGUGUAAAAAAUCUAGACAUGGGAGCAAACGUGUGCUUGUACUUUCACGUGCAUCACAAGCAAUUUAAAGGCUAAUACUACUCCAAUAUCAAUGCAAAAAUAAACAAUUUCCAUGGUGAUGAAUCAAAAGAUACAACAAAUGUAAGGGUGAAAUGAUAAAAUACCAAACCAUCUUUGCUCUCCACA
rnacentral:misc_RNA from 1 species